AUGCAGAAAAUAGGUUUAUGAAUGUAAUUGAGAGGAAAGAAAACAAUUAACACGGUGCAAGGUUGCACACUCGGUUGGCCACCCCUCGCCUUCUCCUCUACCCCAAUUUUGAGCAAUCCGGGAUCAUGGGAAUAGAGUGGAUCCAGGCAGUUGGAGGCAGCUGACAAGGCAACCCCUGAAGGAGAUCACAGUGAUGGGUGGAUAAUGUGUCUAUCCAUCUCCUAGUCGGCUGAGGCCUCCUCCAACCAAGCUGAGAGAAAGAGAUCAAAUCCCCAAGCCCAAGUUACUCUCUUCUACUGAUGUGAAGUGACGUCAGCAAGGCCUGUCCUAUCCCCUUGGAGAGAAGGGAGUGAGGAGGAGGGGAUGGAAGGAGGGAGCUGGGAGAAAGAGCUAAAGAAAAAGAGAAAAAGCAAACCGGACGAACAGAGGACCGCAUGGGAAUGAGUCUUCUACACUCGGGGGCCCCAGUUCCACCAACAGUGGGCAAAACAAUGCUUGCGAAGUCGGGGGUUGGUAGAACACCUUUCUCUCCUCUCCCGCGAUCUACAUAUUCUAACAUAUGGAAAGCUUACAGGCCCCGAGCACUUAUAGAAGCCGAUAAUGCAUUAGCUCUCAGCAAUAUUUACAGCACCACUUUUAAUACACACCAGAUGGUUCGCGACUGUGCCGCCCCAGCCAGCUCACUCCUCGAUUUUACUCGGCGGCACUUUGUUGCAAUUACGCUCCAUGCUGAGACCAAUUUUAUUGGUGACCUAUUUUUCAUAUUUUGUAGCAUUUUAUGUUAAAAAAAAAAAAAAAAAAAACCUCCUCUCUGGCCUUUUUGUAAAGGGCAGCGCGCAGGAAGGGAGAGCUUAGGAGGACGGCGGGACUGUCUAGGUGGAUAUUAAUAUUUAUCAUGAUGUUCCAUACCUCGGGUUUAAGUGAGUCAACCGGAUAGACAUAAGUACUCCGGUCAUUAUGUUUGUUCACUCACCCCCCUGUUUGUCAGACGCCCACGGACUGUCUACACGGCGCGCUUGCCUCCGAGUCAAUACAUCCGACCAUAAAUAUUGUAUUCCAUUAAUUAUCACGCCACUGGCUGAUCCCGGGCGCCGGCGUCCUCGAGCGACGCAGGGCAAAUGAGGACGCUUCCUGAACAGAUUUCUAGGCUGGGAACCCCGCGGAAAUUGCCGCAGAGCCUGGGAAUUCCUAGAGCCCGAGCGCCCGGCUCGACUCGGGCUGGGCCCGGACCGGCUGGCGGGGGAGGGAGGCGGCUGCGGAGGCCCGACGCCGCCAGGAGGGCUCAGUACCUGUUAUCUUGCCA
ensembl:lncRNA